AACGAACGCUGGCGGCAUGCCUAACACAUGCAAGUCGAACGAGACCUUCGGGUCUAGUGGCGCACGGGUGCGUAACGCGUGGGAAUCUGCCCUUGGGUUCGGAAUAACAGUUAGAAAUGACUGCUAAUACCGGAUGAUGACUUCGGUCCAAAGAUUUAUCGCCCAAGGAUGAGCCCGCGUCGGAUUAGCUAGUUGGUGAGGUAAAGGCUCACCAAGGCGACGAUCCGUAGCUGGUCUGAGAGGAUGAUCAGCCACACUGGGACUGAGACACGGCCCAGACUGCUACGGGAGGCAGCAGUGGGGAAUAUUGGACAAUGGGCGAAAGCCUGAUCCAGCAAUGCCGCGUGGGUGAUGAAGGCCUUAGGGUUGUAAAGCUCUUUUACCCGGGAUGAUAAUGACAGUACCGGGAGAAUAAGCCCCGGCUAACUCCGUGCCAGCCGCCGCCGUAAAAC
rnacentral:rRNA from 1 species